AUUGAACGCUGGCGGCAUGCUUUACACAUGCAAGUCGAACGGCAGCACGGGCUUCGGCCUGGUGGCGAGUGGCGAACGGGUGAGUAAUAUAUCGGAACGUACCCAGAAGUGGGGGAUAACGUAGCGAAAGUUACGCUAAUACCGCAUACGAUCUAUGGAUGAAAGCAGGGGACCGCAAGGCCUUGUGCUCCUGGAGCGGUCGAUAUCUGAUUAGCUAGUUGGUGAGGUAAAGGCUCACCAAGGCGACGAUCAGUAGCUGGUCUGAGAGGACGACCAGCCACACUGGAACUGAGACACGGUCCAGACUCCUACGGGAGGCAGCAGUGGGGAAUUUUGGACAAUGGGCGCAAGCCUGAUCCAGCAAUGCCGCGUGAGUGAAGAAGGCCUUCGGGUUGUAAAGCUCUUUUGUCAGGGAAGAAACGGUAGAGGCUAAUAUCCUUUGCUAAUGACGGUACCUGAAGAAUAAGCACCGGCUAACUACGUG
rnacentral:rRNA from 1 species